AUUGAACGCUGGCGGCAGGCCUAACACAUGCAAGUCGAGCGGAUGACGGGAGCUUGCUCCUUGAUUCAGCGGCGGACGGGUGAGUAAUGCCUAGGAAUCUGCCUGGUAGUGGGGGACAACGUUUCGAAAGGAAUGCUAAUACCGCAUACGUCCUACGGGAGAACGCAGGGGACCUUCGGGCCUUGCGCUAUCAGAUGAGCCUAGGUCGGAUUAGCUAGUAGGUGAGGUAAUGGCUCACCUAGGUGACGAUCCGUAACUGGUCUGAGAGGAUGAUCAGUCACACUGGAACUGAGACACGGUCCAGACUCCUACGGGAGGCAGCAGUGGGGAAUAUUGGACAAUGGGCGAAAGCCUGAUCCAGCCAUGCCGCGUGUGUGAAGAAGGUCUUCGGAUUGUAAAGCACUUUAAGUUGGGAGGAAGGGCGGUAAGUUAAUACCUUGCUGUUUUGACGUUACCGACAGAAUAAGCACCGGCUAACUCUGUGCCAGCAGCCGCCGUAAGAC
rnacentral:rRNA from 1 species